rnacentral:lncRNA from 1 species
AGAAACCGGGGUGGGGGAGGGGUCAGCAUCAGCCCAGGCAGGACUGUCCUGGGGAGCCCCUCCUGUUCUCAGGCAAGACUGGGAAAUCCCAGCCCUAGGGCCCUGGAGAGGCCCUCACCCGCUCUGCUUUCACCCAACCCGACUGACACGGAGUAGGAGGUGGGAAUCAUGCAGGCAGGGAGCUUAGGAAGCCUGGUUUAAGGUCUGUACUUCUCCAGAUUGCUUUGAAUGGCAGGCCCCCUGCUGUGCUCCUGGGGAGAGAGCCUGAAACCUGGAUGCUCGGGAGCCCCUCAGAUCCGUCAUCUGUCCCCGACACCCCUGUGGUGAGCCUUGCCACUGGGCCCUGAGAAGCUCAGAGCAGUCGAGUCAGGGCAGUGGGACAUGACCCAGGUCAGAUGUGGCUUUUCCGUAAUUGUACACCAAUGAUCAAGAGAAAAUGAAGGAUUUUAAUAUCACACACCUACACUUGAUGGCAGGGAAAUAAUUAUUUCCUGCAGAAUGGGCUGCAAAUGUAACAAACCCCCUGACCUUCAGUCUGAAGAGAGAGAACUAUCAACCACACAGAAGCAAAGAUCCAGAGAAAUACUGAGGGAUGCUACCAGACACUCAACCAGGGCCACUCUCCGAGAUUCCAGCCAGCCACACAGCAAAGAUGCUGGCCGGGGACACUGCCCCAAACCACCAGACAGAACCCCAAAGAAACAGCUCCACACACAGUGGAAGAUACACCAGAGACUGUUAGAAGGACCAUCAGACAAAGCCAAAGAGACAGGUAGAUGAAACCAGAUAACCAGCCAGAGAGGUGGUCAGAGAACAGCGACACAAUCAAAGGACCCACCAGAAACACUGUAAAGGACUCAGCUAGACCCAGGCAGAUACACUGCCGAAGGACGAGCAAGGAGCACAGGCAGUGAAGCCGUCGGCGACAAAGCCAGAGAGCUAAGACACUGUCAGAAACAGUGCCAGAGAAACCGUCUGACACACAAGCAGAGAAAUACCAGAGAAACUGAUAGACGCAAACAGGCGUACACCCAGAAAAACAGCUUGAGAGAAGAGCCAGAGCCACAGCCAGAUGCUCAGUCAGGAAGUAUCCACACCACUCCAAACACUGCCAGAGACACUGUCAGACACACAGUCAGACACACUGCCAGAGACACCGUUAUAAAGACUGCCAGAGAAACAGCCAGACACACAGCCAGAAAAACUGACAGAGACGCAGUGCCAGAUAUACCCCGAGAAAGUGCCAGAGACUCAGCUCCAGACAGUGCAGACAUAGCAUAACAGAGACAAAUGUGGGUAUCAGCCUGAAGCAGCUGCGGAGAGGCUGGAGAGCAAUGAACUUCCUGGGGCUUCCUGUGGGAGAGGGCUCCUGCCUGCCUUUUGCUACCCUUGACCCUCUCCAGGAAAGUCCCCUCCUCUGAGCCUGCUUUUCCUUUCCUCCCUGUCACAGCCACAGGUGCCCUGACUGCCCCUCCCUGGCACAGUAAAUCUCUCUGUGUCCUAAGUGGC